rnacentral:snRNA from 1 species
CGGCUCAGCCGGAGGUAGGGU